rnacentral:rRNA from 1 species
AACGAACGCUGGCGGCAUGCCUAACACAUGCAAGUCGAACGACACCUUCGGGUCUAGUGGCGCACGGGUGCGUAACGCGUGGGAAUCUGCCCUUGGGUUCGGAAUAACAGUUGGAAACGACUGCUAAUACCGGAUGAUGACGUAAGUCCAAAGAUUUAUCGCCCAAGGAUGAGCCCGCGUAGGAUUAGCUAGUGGGUGAGGUAAAGGCUCACCAAGGCGUGGAUCCUUAGCUGGUCUGAGAGGAUGGUCAGCCACACUGGGACUGAGACACGGCCCAGAAUCCUACGGGAGGCAGCAGAGGGGAAUAUUGGACUACGGGCGAAGGCCUGAAGCAGCAAGGCCGCGUGAGUGAUGAAGGCCUGAGGGUAGUAAAGCUCGUUUACCCGGGAUGAUAAUGACAGUACCGGGAGAAUAAGCUCCGGCUAACUCCGUG